GACGAACGCUGGCGGCGUGCCUAAUACAUGCAAGUUGAGCGCUGAAGGUUGGUACUUGUACCAACUGGAUGAGCAGCGAACGGGUGAGUAACGCGUGGGGAAUCUGCCUUUGAGCGGGGGACAACAUUUGGAAACGAAUGCUAAUACCGCAUAAAAACUUUAAACACAAGUUUUAAGUUUGAAAGAUGCAAUUGCAUCACUCAAAGAUGAUCCCGCGUUGUAUUAGCUAGUUGGUGAGGUAAAGGCUCACCAAGGCGAUGAUACAUAGCCGACCUGAGAGGGUGAUCGGCCACAUUGGGACUGGGACACGGCCCAAACUCCUACGGGAGGCAGCAGUAGGGAAUCUUCGGCAAUGGACGAAAGUCUGACCGAGCAACGCCGCGUGAGGGAAGAAGGUUUUCGGAUCGUAAAACUCUGUUGGUAGAGAAGAACGUUGGUGAGAGUGGAAAGCUCAUCAAGUGACGGUAACUACGCAGAAAGGGACGGCUAACUACGUG
rnacentral:rRNA from 1 species